AUUGAACGCUGGCGGCGUGCUUAACACAUGCAAGUCGAUCGGUAACAGGUGUAGCAAUACAUGCUGACGGGAGGCGGACGGGUGAGUAAUGCUUGGGAAUCUGCCUAUUAGUGGGGGACAACCCGGGGAAACUCGGGCUAAUACCGCAUACGCUCUACGGAGGAAAGCCGGGGACCGCAAGGCCUGGCGCUAAUAGAUGAGCCCAAGUCGGAUUAGCUAGUUGGUAGGGUAACGGCCACCAAGGCGACAAUCCGUAGCUGGUCUGAGAGGACGACCAGCCACACCGGAACUGAGACACGGUCCGGACUCCUACGGGAGGCAGCAGUGGGGAAUAUUGGACAAUGGGGGCAACCCUGAUCCAGCGACGCCGCGUGGGUGAAGAAGGCCUGCGGGUUGUAAAGCCCUUUCGGUGGGGAAGAAAAGUCUCGACCUAAUACGUCGGGACCUUGACGUAACCCACUAAAGAAGCACCGGC
rnacentral:rRNA from 1 species